GGAAUCUUUCACAAUGGGCGAAAGCCUGAUGGAGCAACGCCGCGUGCAGGAUGAAGGCCUUCGGGUUGUAAACUGCUUUUAUAAUCGAGAAAUAUGAUGGUAGGUUAUGAAUAAGGAUCGGCUAACUACGUGCCAGCAGCCGCGGUCAUACGUAGGAUCCGAGCAUUAUCCGGAGUGACUGGGUGUAAAGAGUUGCGUAGGUGGCAAGUUAAGUAGCUAGUGAAAUCUGGUGGCUCAACCAUUCAGACUAUUAGCUAAACUGACUAGCUCGAGAGCGUUAGGGGUAGCUGGAAUUUCUAGUGUAGGAGUGAAAUCCGUAGAUAUUAGAAAGAACACCGAUAGCGUAGGCAGGCUACUGGGACGUUUCUGACACUAAGGCACGAAAGCGUAGGGAGCAAACG
rnacentral:rRNA from 1 species